UUGAAUGAACUUAGAGUCGGUUGUCGCUGGCUGUCUUUUUGCAGCAUGUGCACGCCUUCUCUUUUCAUCCACACACACCCCUGUUGCACUUGUGAGACUGGAGGCCGUAAAAAAAAGCCUUCAGUCUGCCUAAAUUCAUAUACAAACUCAUUUAAAUUGAACUGAAUGUACUUGAUGUAACGCAUCAUUGAAC
rnacentral:misc_RNA from 1 species